UCAACGAGCUAAAUUCUCAAAUAUAUGUUUACAAAUUGGUGAAUUUGAAGUACAGUGUUGGCUACUCGAGGCGCAUAACCUCGAAUAUUUGCUCAGUGCAAAUCGUGAAAAUUCACAGUGAUUAAAUACAAUCGAGCGAGUGAUGGAAAAUAAAGGGGACAAAAUAAGGGUAAAGGAUGAACCGAAAGAUGUUUGCUCUUGUGAAUCCAAUAAACUUGAAACAUUGACGUUUCAUGAAUCAUCGGCAAAUUACAUUAAUAAAAAUGCGCUGUUACAAGAGAGGUAAGAUGAAAAAAUAUUUAUAGAUAUCGAGUGCAAAAAUGUUAAACCAGAACUACCAUCUCUAUCAACAAUCAUGUGCAAAACAGAGUAUCAAAGUUUCCUGCCUGUGGUAAAAAUAGAAAACGAAAUUCAGAGUAAUUACUUGAUUGAUAAAGAACUGACAAUUUUGAUAAAAAAAGAAUUCAAUUAUUAUAAUAAUUGUAAAUUUCAAUUACAUCCCCGAUCGAAAACUGAUGAAUUUACGGAGGUUAAAUUAUUUAGAAAAAAUACUCAAACAAAACUAUCUCAGAAGAGUAACUUGCGUCGAAAAACUUAUAAUAAAGAAGAGAGUCUAAAUAUUCAUACUAAAGCGAAACACAAGAGCACUAGACCAUAUGAAUGUAAAACUUGCUACAAACCAUUUUCAUUCAAGGGGAAUCUCAAUAAACAUAUAAAUGUGGUGCAUAAUCGUAUCAAACCCUUCGAAUGUGACAUUUGUCACAAAUCAUUUGGACA